GUGCCAGCAGCCGCGGUAAUACCGGCAGCUCAAGUGAUGGCCGAUCUUAUUGGGCCUAAAGCGUCCGUAGCUGGCCUCGCAAGUCCGUCGGGAAAUCCAUCAGCCCAACUGAUGGGCGUCCGGCGGAAACUGCAUAGCUUGGGACCGGAAGGCUCGAAGGGUACGUGCGGGGUAGGAGUGAAAUCCCAUAAUCCCGCACGGACCACCGAUGGCGAAAGCACUUCGAGAAAACGGAUCCGACAGUGAGGGACGAAAGCCAGGGUCUCCAACCGGAUUAGAAACCCCGGUAGUCC
rnacentral:rRNA from 1 species